rnacentral:ribozyme from 1 species
CUUUUUUUGUUUUUGUUGUACGUGUGUUACUCGGGUGAGAAAAUACAAGUGAAGGAAGGGGUAGGGAGGGGGUGAAAAAAAGAAACAAAUAGAAAAGGUAACGAAAUAGAUAUGUGGUUUGUGUGUCUUUAGUUACGGUUGUAUACAGUUUUGACAACAUAAAUCAAUUUAUAAUGCAGUUACUGUUUUGGUAACAUGUGCACACAUAAAG